rnacentral:rRNA from 1 species
AGAGUUGAUUCUGGCUCAGAACGAACGCUGGCGGCGCGUUUAAGCAUGCAAGUCGAGCGGCAAGGGCCUUCGGGCCCCUAGAGCGGCGGACGGGUGAGUAACACGUGGACAAUCUGCCCCCCGGCCCGGGAUAGCCCAGGGAAACCUGGAUUAAUACCGGAUGAGACGGGACCCGCGAUGGCGGGAUCCGGGAAAGGCGCUGCGGCGCCGCCGGGGGAUGAGUCUGCGUCCCAUUAGCUAGACGGCGGGGUAACGGCCCACCGUGGCGACGAUGGGUAGCCGGCCUGAGAGGGUGGACGGCCACAUUGGAACUGAGACACGGUCCAGACUCCUACGGGAGGCAGCAGCUAAGAAUCUUCCGCAAUGGGCGAAAGCCUGACGGAAGCGACGCCGCGUGAACGAAGAAGGCCGUGAGGUUGUAAAGUUCUUUUCGGGAGGGGGAACAACCGUGGCAGGGAAUGGCCGCGGGAUGACGUGAAUCCCGGAAUAAGCCCCGGCUAACUACGUGCCAGCCGCCGC